GUCGUAACAAGGUUUCCGUAGGUGAACCUGCGGAAGGAUCAUUAUGGUUCAUCCAAACCACACGUGAAUUGUCACCUCGUGCGUUUCGUUUCACGACGGAGCGCGCGAACCCUCCCAAUACACCUUAAACCAGAGUAUGAAGCAGUAGGGUAUGAGUCAAUCUUUGACACUGCCUUUAACCGUGACAACUCUCAACAACGGAUGUCUUGGCUCUCGCAACGAUGAAGAACGCAGCGAAAUGCGAUACGUAGUGUGAUUUGCACUGUACGUGAACCAUCGAAUCUUUGAACGCAUAUUGCACUCGAGGCUUCGGCCAAGAGUAUGCCUGCCUGAGCGUCAGUGUGUACCCUCAUACCAAUUAAUUUUGGGAUGGAAAUGGACGUCCGAUCGGAGCCUGCGAAGGUUUCGAUGGGUCGGCUGAAAGGCAGUCGCGGUGCGACCGAUCGCACGAUCAGCGUGGUAGACCUAUUCAUAGGACGGAUCGCUCGGUCAGAUCGGUAACACUUCGAUCCGAAUACUGGUGCGUGUCUCGACUCCGCGGGCCCUCGCGGCUGGUGGAAUAAGAGCCGUGCCAUCUCACCUUUUGACCUCAGUUCAGACAAGGCUACCCGCCGAAUUUAAGCAUAUUACUAAGCGGAGGAAAAGAAAAUAACAAUGAUUCCCCUAGUAACGGCGAGCGAACCGGGAAGAGCCCAACUUGAAAAUCUGGAGGCUUGUCCUUCCGAAUUGUAGUCUAGAGAAGUGCCAUCUGCGGCUGGCUGGUCGAAAGUUCCCUGGAAAGGGACGUCAGAGAGGGUGAGAGCCCCGUCACGAUCGGUUAAGUCGCUCCACGAUGCGCUUUCGAGGAGUCGGGUUGUUUGGGAAUGCAGCCCUAAGCGGGAGGUAAAUUCCUUCUAAGGCUAAAUAUUGGCGAGAGACCGAUAGCGAACAAGUACCGCGAGGGAAAGAUGAAAAGACCUUUGAAAAGAGAGUUAAAAAGUACCUGAAAUUGUUGAGGGGGAAGCGAUUGAAACCAGCGGGUGCUCCUCGGGUAGGGUCAAACCACACGCCGAGGGCUGGUCAACGUGGGUUAGUCGGGCGGGAUAUUACGCUUGAUUGACCGAGGACUCGACGUUGGCGGAAUGGUUUCAAUCGGCCCGUCUAGAAACACGGACCAAGGAGUCUAACAUGUGUGCGAGUCGGUGGGUGACAAACCCACGAGGCGCAAGUAACCUGACUGAGCAAAUUCGACCGACCAUGAUCUUCUGUGAAAGGUUUGAGUGCGAGCAUACAUGCUGGGACCCGAAAGAUGGUGAACUAUGCGUGA
rnacentral:rRNA from 1 species